rnacentral:rRNA from 1 species
GAUGAACGCUGGCGGCGUGCCUAAUACAUGCAAGUCGAGCGAACAGACGAGGAGCUUGCUCCUCUGGCGUUAGCGGCGGACGGGUGAGUAACACGUGGAUAACCUACCUAUAAGACUGGGAUAACGUCGGGAAACCGGAGCUAAUACCGGAUAAUAUAUUGAACCGCAUGGUUCAAUAGUGAAAGACGGUUUUGCUGUCACUUAUAGAUGGAUCCGCGCCGCAUUAGCUAGUUGGUAAGGUAACGGCUUACCAAGGCGACGAUGCGUAGCCGACCUGAGAGGGUGAUCGGCCACACUGGAACUGAGACACGGUCCAGACUCCUACGGGAGGCAGCAGUAGGGAAUCUUCCGCAAUGGGCGAAAGCCUGACGGAGCAACGCCGCGUGAGUGAUGAAGGUCUUCGGAUCGUAAAACUCUGUUAGUAGGGAAGAACAAAUGUGUAAGUAACUAUGCACGUCUUGACGGUACCUAAUCAGAAAGCCACGGCUAACUACGUG